AGAGUUUGAUCCUGGCUCAGGACGAACGCUGGCGGCGCGCCUAACACAUGCAAGUCGAACGGAGCUUAUAUUUCAGAAGUUUUCGGAUGGACGAGAGAUAAGCUUAGUGGCGGACGGGUGAGUAACACGUGAGCAACCUGCCUUUCAGAGGGGGAUAACAGUUGGAAACGACUGCUAAUACCGCAUAACGCUGCGAUGGGGCAUCCCGAUGCAGCCAAAGGAGCAAUCCGCUGGAAGAUGGGCUCGCGGCCGAUUAGCUAGUUGGUGGGGCAACGGCCCACCAAGGCGACGAUCGGUAGCCGGACUGAGAGGUUGAUCGGCCACAUUGGGACUGAGACACGGCCCAGACUCCUACGGGAGGCAGCAGUGGGGAUAUUGCACAAUGGAGGAAACUCUGAUGCAGCGACGCCGCGUGAGGGAAGACGGUCUUCGGAUUGUAAACCUCUGUCUUUGGGGAAGAAAAUGACGGUACCCAAAGAGGAAGCUCCGGC
rnacentral:rRNA from 1 species